rnacentral:lncRNA from 1 species
UCUGCCCGCCUGCCUCACGCUCUGAACUCCUCAUCCGGUCCAACCUUCCUCAGUUCACCUCCGCUCUGGUUCCGAUUCCUGACCAUUCCGGUCUCCUCCUGAUCCUGAUCUGAAGCAGCGCCUUUAGUUUAGUUUUGCCUAUUCUGUUAUUAUUUUCUCAUUGUAAAUAAACCACCAUAUUUUUACUCACCG